GGAUGUGAGAGUGAUCUGGCUGUGACAUCUGUCACCCCAUUGAUCACCAGGGUUGAUUUAGCUGAUCUGGCUGACUAGGGGGUGUCCCCCUUUUUCAUCACCCUUCAUGUGUGUCUCUCCCACUGUAUGUUUGGUGGAAGAGAAUGAUCUUCCCUGGUAGAAGAGGAUCGUUCUUCAGUCAAGGUAUAUGGAGAACCUCCAUACAAGUUCUCAAAAAAUGGUUGUUGAGAGAAUGCAUCAAUAAAAAGAGACAGCGAGGAGGUGGACAAUGAUUGUAUGCACAGUAAGAUUGAAAAACGGGACUUUCU
ensembl:misc_RNA 7SK 7SK RNA